rnacentral:rRNA from 1 species
UACGGAGGGGGCUAGCGUUGUUCGGAAUUACUGGGCGUAAAGCGCGCGUAGGCGGACCUGCAAGUCGGGGGUGAAAGCCCGAGGCUCAACCUCGGAACUGCCUUCGAUACUGCGGGUCUCGAGUCCGGGAGAGGUGAGUGGAAUUCCUAGUGUAGAGGUGAAAUUCGUAGAUAUUAGGAAGAACACCAGUGGCGAAGGCGGCUCACUGGCCCGGUACUGACGCUGAGGCGCGAAAGCGUGGGGAGCAAACA